UGCCAGGCGCUAGCUAACAGAUUGAUGCCCAACUCCGUCAGGUCCGGAAGGAAGCAGCGGCAAGUAUUCAGUUUGUGUAGUUAGUUGCUUGGCAUUU
rnacentral:SRP_RNA from 1 species